AUGAACUGUAGGUUAAUGGGGCACUAUAGUCACCAGAACUACAGCUUAUUGUAUUCUGAUGAGCAAUCAUUAGUUCAGGCUUUUUACAGUAAACAUUGACUUUUCAGAGAAAAUGCAGUGAUAACUCCACAGGCCACUCUUCAGAUGGCAACUAGAGGUGCUUCCCCCUUUGCACCUCUGGGGAAAGUGGUGUCUCCAUGCACUGAUUAAAUUGAUAUCUGAAGAGAUACCUGAUUGCCCAGGGCUCUGUUUGACUUGUGCUGGCUCUGCCUCCUUGACAGUCUCAGCCAAUCCUAUGGGGAAGCUUUGUAACUGGCUCAGAGAAUCAUUUCUGAUGAUGUCGGCCAAGCGGGCAGAUCAGGGGCAGAGCCAGCAGCAGCAGACUGGAAAAAGUAUGUUUUUUAUUAUGUUAAGGGAGCUGGUGGGAUUUCUAACACUAUAGUGUUCCCUUAAAGACUUCUAAAAUAUCUUAUACAAUCUAUGGACAGGCCUAGGUUACCUAAAACAGUCCUGUGAGUCAAUAUAAUGGAUCAAGGCUACUAU